UCCCUGGUGGUCUAAUGGAUAGGACUCAGCACUUUCAUGGCUGUGGUCCAGGUUCAAUCCCUGGUCUGGGAA
rfam:Sus scrofa chromosome 3.